rnacentral:rRNA from 1 species
GACGAACGCUGGCGGCGUGCUUAACACAUGCAAGUCGAGCGGUAAGGCCCUUUCGGGGGUACGACGAGCGGCGAACGGGUGAGUAACACGUGGGUGACCUGCCUUUAGUCUCUGGGAUAAGCCUGGGAAACCGGGUCUAAUACCGGAUAUGACUCCGCGGCGCAUGUUGUGGGGUGGAAAGCCUUGUGCGGCUGGAGAUGGGCCCGCGGCCUAUCAGCUUGUUGGUGGGGUGAUGGCCUACCAAGGCGACGACGGGUAGCCGGCCUGAGAGGGCGACCGGCCACACUGGGACUGAGACACGGCCCAGACUCCUACGGGAGGCAGCAGUGGGGAAGUCUUGCGCAAUGGGCGAAAGCCUGACGCAGCGACGCCGCGUGAGGAUGACGCCU